UGGGGAAUUUUGGACAAUGGGCGAAAGCCUGAUCCAGCAAUGCCGCGUGUGUGAAGAAGGCCUUCGGGUUGUAAAGCACUUUUGUCCGGAAAGAAAUCCUUGGCUCUAAUACAGUCGGGGGAUGACGGUACCGGAAGAAUAAGCACCGGCUAACUACGUGCCAGCAGCCGCGGUAAUACGUAGGGUGCAAGCGUUAAUCGGAAUUACUGGGCGUAAAGCGUGCGCAGGCGGUUUGCUAAGACCGAUGUGAAAUCCCCGGGCUCAACCUGGGAACUGCAUUGGUGACUGGCAGGCUAGAGUAUGGCAGAGGGGGGUAGAAUUCCACGUGUAGCAGUGAAAUGCGUAGAGAUGUGGAGGAAUACCGAUGGCGAAGGCAGCCCCCUGGGCCAAUACUGACGCUCAUGCACGAAAGCGUGGGGAGCAAACAGGAUUAGAUACCCUGGUAGUCCACGCCCUAAACGAUGUCAACUAGUUGUUGGGGAUUCAUUUCCUUAGUAACGUAGCUAACGCGUGAAGUUGACCGCCUGGGGAGUACGGUCGCAAGAUUAAAACUUAAUGAAUUGAC
rnacentral:rRNA from 1 species